UAGUCCACGCCGUAAACGAUGGAUACUAGUUGCUGGAGGAGUCAAUCCCUUCGGUGACGAAGCUAACGCAUUAAGUAUCCCGCCUGGGGAGUACGCUCGCAAGGGUGAAACUCAAAGGAAUUGACGGGGGCCCGCACAAGCGGUGGAGCAUGUGCUUUAAUUCGAUGCAACGCGAAGAACCUUACCUGGGUUUGACAUGGGAGUGAAAGUAACCAGAGAUGGAUGCCUUUCCUUCGGGAACACUCUACACAGGUGCUGCAUGGUUGUCGUCAGCUCGUGUCGUGAGAUGUUGGGUUAAGUCCCGCAACGAGCGCAACCCCUGUCCUUAGUUGCCAUCAGGUAAUGCUGGGAACUCUAAGGAGACUGCCUGGUUUAACCAGGAGGAAGGUGGGGAUGACGUCAAAUCCUCAUGGCCCUUACGCCCAGGGCUAGACACGUGCUACAAUGGCCGGUACAGUGGGAUGCAAGCUCGCGAGAGUAAGCUAAUCCCUUAAAACCGGUCUCAGUUCGG
rnacentral:rRNA from 1 species